rnacentral:rRNA from 1 species
GAAGAGUUUGAUCAUGGCUCAGAUUGAACGCUGGCGGCAGGCCUAACACAUGCAAGUCGAACGGUAACAGGAAGCAGCUUGCUGCUUCGCUGACGAGUGGCGGACGGGUGAGUAAUGUCUGGGAAACUGCCUGAUGGAGGGGGAUAACUACUGGAAACGGUGGCUAAUACCGCAUAACGUCGCAAGACCAAAGAGGGGGACCUUCGGGCCUCUUGCCAUCAGAUGUGCCCAGAUGGGAUUAGCUUGUUGGUGAGGUAACGGCUCACCAAGGCGACGAUCCCUAGCUGGUCUGAGAGGAUGACCAGCCACACUGGAACUGAGACACGGUCCAGACUCCUACGGGAGGCAGCAGUGGGGAAUAUUGCACAAUGGGCGCAAGCCUGAUGCAGCCAUGCCGCGUGUAUGAAGAAGGCCUUCGGGUUGUAAAGUACUUUCAGCGGGGAGGAAGGUGUUGUGGUUAAUAACCGCAGCAAUUGACGUUACCCGCAGAAGAAGCACCGGCUAACUCCGUGCCAGCAGCCGCGGUAAUACGGAGGGUGCAAGCGUUAAUCGGAAUUACUGGGCGUAAAGCGCACGCAGGCGGUCUGUCAAGUCGGAUGUGAAAUCCCCGGGCUCAACCUGGGAACUGCAUUCGAAACUGGCAGGCUUGAGUCUUGUAGAGGGGGGUAGAAUUCCAGGUGUAGCGGUGAAAUGCGUAGAGAUCUGGAGGAAUACCGGUGGCGAAGGCGGCCCCCUGGACAAAGACUGACGCUCAGGUGCGAAAGCGUGGGGAGCAAACAGGAUUAGAUACCCUGGUAGUCCACGCCGUAAACGAUGUCUACUUGGAGGUUGUGCCCUUGAGGCGUGGCUUCCGGAGCUAACGCGUUAAGUAGACCGCCUGGGGAGUACGGCCGCAAGGUUAAAACUCAAAUGAAUUGACGGGGGCCCGCACAAGCGGUGGAGCAUGUGGUUUAAUUCGAUGCAACGCGAAGAACCUUACCUGGUCUUGACAUCCACGGAAGUUUUCAGAGAUGAGAAUGUGCCUUCGGGAACCGUGAGACAGGUGCUGCAUGGCUGUCGUCAGCUCGUGUUGUGAAAUGUUGGGUUAAGUCCCGCAACGAGCGCAACCCUUAUCCUUUGUUGCCAGCGGUCCGGCCGGGAACUCAAAGGAGACUGCCAGUGAUAAACUGGAGGAAGGUGGGGAUGACGUCAAGUCAUCAUGGCCCUUACGACCAGGGCUACACACGUGCUACAAUGGCGCAUACAAAGAGAAGCGACCUCGCGAGAGCAAGCGGACCUCAUAAAGUGCGUCGUAGUCCGGAUUGGAGUCUGCAACUCGACUCCAUGAAGUCGGAAUCGCUAGUAAUCGUGGAUCAGAAUGCCACGGUGAAUACGUUCCCGGGCCUUGUACACACCGCCCGUCACACCAUGGGAGUGGGUUGCAAAAGAAGUAGGUAGCUUAACCUUCGGGAGGGCGCUUACCACUUUGUGAUUCAUGACUGGGGUGAAGUCGUAACAAGGUAACCGUAGGGGAACCUGCGGUUGGA